rnacentral:rRNA from 1 species
UACGUAGGGGGCAAGCGUUGCCCGGAAUCAUUGGGCGUAAAGCGCGUGUAGGCGGCUCGAUAAGUCCGUUCUGAAAGUCCAGGGCUCAACCCUGGGAUGCGGAUGGAUACUGUCGAGCUCGAGUCCGGAAGAGGCGAGUGGAAUUCCUGGUGUAGCGGUGAAAUGCGCAGAUAUCAGGAGGAACACCAAUGGCGAAGGCAGCUCGCUGGGACGUGACUGACGCUGAGACGCGAAAGCGUGGGGAGCAAACAGG